rnacentral:misc_RNA from 1 species
GAAAUGCGAUAAGUAAUGUGAAUUGCAGAAUUCCGUGAAUCAUCGAAUCUUUGAACGCACAUUGCGCCCUCUGGUAUUCCGGGGGGCAUGCCUGUCCGAGCGUCAUUGCGAACCCCUCAAGCACGGCUUGUGUGAUGGGCCCUCCCGCGUCUUGGUCGUCAAGACGGGCCCGAAAUGCAGUGGCGGCUUCGCGGUUAUCCGAUCAGCCAGAGCGUAUGGGGACUUUCUCUCUGUCACACGCCCGCGGCGCGGACCGACGCCUGUCGACCUUCAUUCAUCGUUUUCUCGGUUGACCUCGGAUCAGGUAGGGAUACCCGCUGAACUUAGGC